rnacentral:lncRNA from 1 species
UUCGUAUGUAUGGAAAAGUAUUUGGGCAGCAAAGGACUUAAUGAAAAAAGGGCAUUGUUGGAGGGUGGGGACGGGUACUAAUAUUUGCAUAAGCGAUGCUUGGAUUCCAGAUUCUGUUAAUUUUAGAUUAUCAUCAGAUAUUAAUUUUUUGCGUGAUGUUAAAGUUGGCGAGUUGAUUGAUAAUAAUACCAGAAGUUGGAAAAAAGAGUUGAUUACUAGUACCUUCCUGGAAGACGACGCAGCUAGAAUCCUCAGAAUCCCUCUGGCACAAACACCGCAUGAUGAUUUUCUUAUCUGGGGAGGCGAAAGGUCGGGUGAGUUUACGGUCAGAAGUGUCUAUCAAUUAUUACAAAAAUUGACUGACAAUCCUAGAGCUUAUGCUUUACAGACCAUCUAUGGGAAUUUUUAUAAAAAACUAUGGUGCCUGAAUCUACCAGCUAAAAUUAAGGUUACAAUAUGGAAGCUAUCUUGGAAUUAUCUGCCUACAAAGGUGAAUCUUCAACAUCGGAAGUUAGUAGUAAAUCCGAGCUGUCCCCGAUGUGGAGAAGAAGCUGAAACAAUGAACCACUUAUUUCGUUACUGUCAUGUUACAAGGGAGGUAUGGAGAUCAUUAUCGUUUCAGUGCAUUUUAAGGAAUCAUUGUGAAGAUUUUGUACAGUGGAUUACCUGGGCAAUAGAGCAGCUCAACCUUGAUCAAAGUCGCGUAUUUUGUUGUGCACUCUCGGCAAUAUGGGGCGACAGAAACAAAAGAAUACAUGAAGGUAAAAUUAGAAAGGGGACGGAAGUUGCAAAUCUUAUAAUCAGUUACAUCAAAGAAAUUGAUAGUCUUGAGAAGAGAGAUCUGAACCGUGCCUUAGAGAAAAAGAGAUGGUCGCCACCACAGGAAAGUUUCAUGAAGAUCAACUUUGAUGGCGCAUACGAUAAAGGAAAGAAUCAGUCGGGUGUGGGUAUUGUGGCCAGAGAUUCGAAUGGUACUAUUCUUUUUUCAUACUCAGAGAUUCAUUUUGGUAUUCCAUCAGCCUUUGCUGCUGAAGCAAUUGCCUGCCGGAAAGGCGUUCAAAUGGGAAUCAGGAGGGGAUGGCGACAUUUGAUCCUUGAAGGAGACUCCCUCACAAUAGUCAAAAAAUGUAAAUCGAAGAGUCAAGAUAGAUCUAUGGUGGGAGUAUACAUUUUUGACAUUCAACAGGAAAUCUAUGGACUUGAAAACAUCAGAUUUCAGUAUAUACCUAGAUCCGCAAAUGGUCUUGCUCAUAUCAUAGCAACAGAAUCAUUGAGAAGAGGAGAAGAGUUUUACCUGGAUAGGGGAGUUCCAGAUUAUGCCAUGGAUCAAGCUCGGCUGGAUGGGAGAAGUGAAGAAGAAGUCUCCAGAGAAGAAAAAUGACGAAUGAAAGGCUUUGAACAAGAAAAUGAAACGGACUGAUUUCUUUUGGCUUACCUUGGAAAUGAAAUCGUCAUUAUGAAAGGAGAUGACAGAAAAGACUGAAGACGGUUUCCCACGCUUCUUCUGAUUGGGCAAUGGGUCGGUGCUUUAAUGACCGAUUCUAGAACAUUCAUUAUAAAUAUCUAGAUUUUAUUUUGGUUAAGGCCAUCUGAUUUGGGCCGUGUUGGGUUUUAGG